UUAUUAGAAUUUAUUUUUUUGUUUUUUUAUUUUUUUAGAAUUGAUUAGUGGUUUGAGUUUAUAUUGAAAUGAUUUAGGAUUGAGUUUCUGUAAGGGCUUAUUUUAUAUUAAAUUAAAAGUAUAGUUUCUGUUAGUACCUUUUGUAUUAGGGUUAAUUUAAUUUAAGGAUGGCUAAUUUAUAUCCCGAAGAAGAGGGAUCUAAUGGACUAUGGAAGUUAAUGUUAUAUUAUUAUUUUUAAUUGUUUUGUUAGAAUUGAGAUGAUAUUCAUACUUUUAUAUCUGGUUAUUGGAAAAUUUGAUUUAAUCUAGGAGUUUUAUAACAAUUGAGUAUUUAUUUUAGAAUUGGAUCUGGCUCUUUUCAUUGAGGGGGUAAGCUCUGGGUGGAAGUUAUAAUAUUAAGAAUAUUGACGUUCAGUAGGAUUAGAAGUGUCCAUUUUUAUAUUGUGUUAUGACUAGGUUUCUGGUAAUAGUUAUUUGUUUUUAUUUAACAUGUUUAUCUGGUGAUUUUUUUUAAUUUGGUAAAAUGUAGAUAUAAUGAUUAAAUAAGUAAAUAUAUGUUAGUUAGGGGAGUAGAAUUCGGCAAAUUUAAUCUUCACCUGUUUAUCAAAAACAUGUCCUUUUGAUUGUAUUUAAGGUCAGGCCUGCCCUAUGAUUAUUUAAAUGGCUGCGGUAUUUUGACCGUGCAAAGGUAGCAUAAUAAUUAGUCUUUUAAAUGGAGUCUUGAAUGAAUGGUUAGAUGAGGGGUUAACUUUUUUCUCUUAUUAUGUUUGAAUUUAAUAAUUGAGUUAAAAGGCUUUAAUAAUUUAGUGGGACGAGAAGACCCUAUAGAACUUUAAUUUUAUUUUGUUGAUUUUAUUUAGAUAUGAGGUUAUGAGUUGGUAUGAUUUAUAUUUUAGUUGGGGUGACUAAAGAAUUUGUUUAACUUCUUUAUUUUUCUUUAAUUAUAUUUAAUUUCUUUUUGAUCCUUUAUUAUGUAUUAAUAGAUAAGUUACCUUAGGGGUAACAGCGUAAUUUGUCUGUGGAGUUCAAAUCGAUAGAUAAGAUUGCGACCUCGAUGUUGGAUUAAGGUAAAUAUUAGGGGUAGUUUUUUAAUGUUUAAGUCUGUUCGACUUUUAAAAUCUUACAUGAUCUGAGUUCAGACCGGUGUGAGCCAGGUUGGUUUCUAUCCUUUAAUUAAGAUUAUCUAAUAGUACGAAAGGACCUUGGAUGAGGAAGUUAUUUUUAUUUAUUUUGUUUUCUUGUA
rnacentral:rRNA from 1 species